CCGUCACCGAGCCUUCCCUGACCCCAUUUGUGCCCUUGGUGAGUUCGCCUUGUCCUCCUCGUGCUCCCUGUGCGAUUAAUUCUUCAAAACGUGCCCUAAAUCGCUUUAAUCACCAACUCCGGCGAGCUUUCCCCUUUUUCGGCCAUGGCGCCACCGCGACUGCCCUGAUCCGGCCGGCCACCUCCCUCUCUCUCCCCUGGGAUCGAUCUCGGCC
rnacentral:lncRNA from 1 species